GGAGUUUGGCUGGGGCGGCACAUCUGUUAAAAGAUAACGCAGGUGUCCUAAGAUGAGCUCAAAGAGAACAGAAAUCUCUUGUGGAACAAAAGGGUAAAAGCUCAUUUGAUUUUGGCUUUCAGUACUAGCACAAACCGUGAAAGCGUGGCCUAUCGAUCCUUUAGCCUGAGAGAAUUUCUCGCUAGAGGUGUCAGAAAAGUUACCACAGGGAUAACUG
rnacentral:rRNA from 1 species